GCGCCAGGGCUGGGGUGAAACAUGUUCCCCGAUUCUUCCCGAAGGCCCCGCCUUCUGUUACAUCAGGGACUUGGCUGCUUUGACCCAGAGGGGCUGGGGGAGGCUGGCCGGACUGAGAGCACGCCCUGGGAAGAUGUCCCAGCCCGAAGAGCAGACUCCUGAAGGAGGGUCUCAGACCGCCUGUGGGCCUUGAGCACCUGCACACAGACCUGGGCCCAGUCCUGAGGACUGCUCAGUGCACUUAACCUGCUGUCUCUCAGUCACACAGGCGGCCCCAGAGUGAGGCCUUGGAGCGAGCGAUGGCAUGUUCGGUAAGAGGCAUCUGUCUCUAAGGGGACAAGACAGGACGGCUAACGGCUGGAGGAGACCCUGCUCCUGUUGCUGAGCCCUGCAACCAGGCGGGCAGGGAGAGCUCUGGAUGCCUGGCUCACAGCCUCCUCAGGUGCAGCGAAGGCCACCGGGGGCCCCUCACCGGUGUGCAGCCAGAGUGUCCCCAGGGUCUCUGCAGCAGACCUGAAGACCACCCACAGGGAAUCUCCAGACUGAAUUUCUCAAAGGCCUCUUGAGGCCGAAGAACCAAGGCAAGGACUCGCUGUCAGACUCUUCCUGCAAUUCACUUAAUGCAGAUUUGGAACAGGGAGGGCCCAGUGCGGGGAGAGCCAGGCGCGAACACCAAGACCUGCGGUGGAGAAAUACUGGCCAUUUUACUGUUGAACGGCUCCAUCCCGGACAAUGGGAAGCUAACACCCCAAAGCCUGAACUCUGCAGUGGCCUCUGCAGAAACUCGCUGAUUGCAGGAACCUGUGGGUGCAGACCGGGGGCCAGGACGAAAGCAGGAGCCGGCUGCCCAGCGCCUCCCAGGUCUACACCCUGGGGGCUGGCUGCCCCUGAGCCUCCUCAUCUUGAAGGGACACACGUUUUUGGCCACAGGGCCAGGCAUUCAGUGCACCUGAGAGAUGACGGUGAAGCUCACUGCCCAUGUUUCUGUGCGGACAAAUGUAAGAGCAAUUUAGGAGGCUCAGCUUAGCCAAGAACAGUGUCGGCUGGAUUCCACACAGGAUGAUAGAAAAGCAAAAUGGUGAUGAUGGUUCAAAAUCUUGUUAUUGAAGAAAGAAAACCAGAUGACCAGCCGGGGAAGCUUCCCAAAACCUUAUUUAAUGAAAAAAUAGCCCCGACUUCUGGGAUCUUGUCUACAAGGUGCUGAAGGGCCCGCGUGGGCAUCUCCAGAUGGUCACGUGUGCGAUUUGAGACUCUGCUGUGGCCGGAGACAGCCGCUGUGGCGUGCACAGUGCCGUGAUCCUGCAGAGGAAGCGUCAGGAACGUCAGCCCACAGGUGCCAGACUUUUCUGAAGGUUAGAAAACAAAGUUGGUCGCCAUAUGUUAGGACUUCCGACGGACCAGCCAGAAUGGCUCCCUCUCCUGGGGUGGGCAGUGCGUGU